GUUAAAGAAACGAUAAUUCCAGUGGCUGCAAUAACAGCUCAGAGCUGCGGUUUGAAAGGCCACCUCCUCCUUAAAUGGCCUGAAAUGUGAGAUCUUUCAUAAAAAUAGUGGGGAAGAAGCAACUCUGCUAAUCCGUCCCUUUGAUGACUAGCUCUGCCAUUCCUUAGGGAAAUCUGUCCRCUGGGGCUGGUUUCAGGGUUGGUGCUCUGAGCCAUCUGGAACGCUGACCUCUUUUUCAUCUCCUUUUCCACACGGAUCAUAAACCAGCACCACUCUGAGCCUGGAGAAGAGAACCCAACUGGGCAAUCGAGACCAAGACCCAUGGGACCAAGAGGAUCAGGAGCACGGGACCCUGCACCUUGCUGCCCUGGCAGCUCGUUGCAUUUACUAAUAUUGCGGGCAGGAGAAGCUCGGGCUGUUUGGAGAGAUCCAACAGCGUGGCAGGGAAGGAGCAGGGCAGUCGGCGAUGCCGGUUUCCCUCACUGCCUCUGCCAGCUGCUUGCUGUGUGACCUUGGGUGAAAGACUUACUCUCUCAGUGUCUCAGUUUACGCAUUAGUGAAAUGAGAGUAAUGAUACUUACCUGUCUCACUGGGGCUUUUUGAGGCUUAAUUAAUUGAUGUUUGUAAAUCACUUUGCGGUCCUCUAGCGAAAGUUGUUAGGGAACUGCCAAGUAUUUAUCCUCUCCGUUUUUUUUCUCCUGCUAGUCUGCACUCAUCCAUCUAAUAUCUAAAAGCAUGCUCACAGCUAGCAACAGAUACUAGCCAAAUUGCUCUUAACGGGAGAUGUAUGGAAGCUUUCACAAAAUUACUUUCGCAAAUUACCAGGCUUUUUGAAGUACCACAUCCAGGGAUGCAAUGAAAAGCAAUGCUGACAAGUGUCUGUGCUCCUCACCGACCAGCGUAUUUCAACAAAUCCUAGUGUUUGGGGCUGCUUUGAAUUUCAGAUAUGUCUGUCUUUUAAUUGAUUUGCCUUUGGAAAAUUUGCCAGGACUCCUAGGAAUUUUUUCC